UGCGCUUUGGUGUAAUUGGUUAGCACAUCACAUUUUGAUUGUGACAGUAUCAGUUCGAUUCUGAUAAGCGUAG
rnacentral:tRNA from 1 species